CGGGGUGUGGCGCAGCCUGGUAGCGCGCCUGCUUUGGGAGCAGGAUGUCGGAGGUUCAAAUCCUCUCGCCCCGACCA
rnacentral:tRNA from 1 species